GAGUGUGAUAACAAUGUUGUGGUUAUGUAAGAGAACAUUCUUAUCCAUAGGAGACUCAUGCAGAAGUAUUUAGGAUAUACUGUUAUGAUAUUUUAAUAGUCCAAAAUUUGACAUGGAAAUGGAAAAGAAGCACAAGGAGAAAUUAUCAUUUGGGUAAAUUAAAUAGUUCUGCUUUGAUGUAUUGUUACCUCUUAAUGAAGAGAGGCAACAUCAGUUAUAUGAAAAUGACCACUUGCAAAGAAUGAAAAAGGCAAUAUGGGUAAAUUGAUAAGCAGUCAUUAUGAGUAUAUUCACUGAUUCCAUUUCUACCUUUCGUCCUCCCAGUGCUUUACUAUAAUAACUGGAGAGGAGAUAGGAAUGCAAAGUAAUACCUGCUGUAGAGUAGCAGAUUAUUGCUUUCGCUACUCAUGUUUCCACCCCUCAAAUGCCCCCACCCACCCAACUUCAGGACUGCUCAGCAGGUCUAGCAGGCCACAGGUGAUUAGCAAAGUUAAUCAGAAUUCUGAAGGGCACAAAAAACAAUAUGAAUGUAAUAGAAUUGUACUUUGUGCUACUCAGAUCAGAUGUGCUGUCACCUUAACUUACUAUGAAUGACAUGUUCAGGCUGUUUAAUUUCCCAAACACAGGCUCAGACUUGUCUUCAAGCUAUGUAGUGUGUUUCAAUUUUAUGUUCUUUACUGCAAAGGGAAGAAAGAAAGUCUCCUGAUUUUAACAAUAGCACACACGGUUAGCUGUCCUCUCCUCUUGCUUCAACAAACCACAGAGGAACACAUAAAACCCUCCUCAGAUGUACUAUGCUUAUAAAGUCAAAUUUUACUAGGAAAGCUAACAGAAUAGUGAUCAUCCAAGGCAACCAUCAAAAACCUUUAUCUCCAUUAUUUAGGAAAACCCAAUAAGGCUGCAGGAUAACUUUUUCCACUAUGUGCAGCCCCCACCACACACAUAGACACAUCCCACCACAAAUGGGCAUUACCUGAAUAUUUUAUAAAUUGCUACAAAUCCUAAUUUGAUAUUACAAUCAUUAGUCUUGUUAAACCUUCAAAGAUUCAACCCUGAGAGACGGAAAUUAUAUGGAAAAUAAUCU
rnacentral:lncRNA from 10 species